UACAGAGGGGGCAAGCGUUGUUCGGAAUUACUGGGCGUAAAGCGUGCGCAGGCGGUUUUGUAAGCCAGAUGUGAAAUCCCCGGGCUUAACCUGGGAAUGGCAUUUGGGACUGCAAGGCUGGAGUGCGGCAGAGGAGACUGGAAUUCCUGGUGUAGCAGUGAAAUGCGUAGAUAUCAGGAGGAAUACCGAUGGCGAAGGCAGGUCUCUGGGCUAUAACUGACGCUCAUGCACGAAAGCGUGGGGAGCAAACAGG
rnacentral:rRNA from 1 species